rnacentral:rRNA from 1 species
ACCUACGGGGGGCAGCAGUGGGGGAUAUUGCACAAUGGGGGGAACCCUGAUGCAGCGACGCCGCGUGGGUGAAGAAGCGCCUCGGCGCGUAAAGCCCUGUCAGCAGGGAAGAAAAUGACGGUACCUGAAGAAGAAGCCCCGGCUAACUACGUGCCAGCAGCCGCGGUAAUACGGAGGAUGCGAGCGUUAUCCGGAUUUAUUGGGUUUAAAGGGUGCGUAGGCGGUAUUUUAAGUUAGUGGUAAAACGUCGGGGCUUCACCUUGAUUAGCCCUUAAAACUGGAGUACUAGAGUACAGACGAGGUAG